UGGGGAAUCAUGGUCAAUGGGCGAAAGCCUGAACCUGCGACGCCGCGUGAGUGAUGAAGGUCGUAAGAUCGUAAAACUCUUUUCAGGGAUCUUAAAGCCUGUCUGUCAACAACAGGCAGGUCUGACUCUCCCUGGAAGAAGCCCCAGCCAACUACGUGCCAGCAGCUGCGGUACUACGUAGGGGGCGAGCGUUAUUCGGAAUUACUGGGUGUAAAGGGUAUGUAGGCGGCCCUUCAAGUCGCGUGUCAAAGUCCAGUGCUCAACGCUGGGUGUGCGCGCGAGACUGACGGGCUUGAGGGCUGGAGAGGUGAGCGGAAUUCCCGGUGUAGUGGUAAGAGACGUAGAGAUCGGGAGGAACACCAGCGGCGCAGGCGGCUCACUAGACAGUUUCUGACGCUAAGAUACGAAAGCGUGGGGAGCAAACA
rnacentral:rRNA from 1 species